UCUGUGCUCCUACAGCCAAUGGACCAGAAAUCUCUUCCAAGGGCUUGGCUUCCUUGGGGCCCUGGUGGCGACAGAGCCUGGCUGCUGAUUAACCCGUGUGGUGACAAGGGGCAUGCGUCCCCUGCAACAAGAAUCACGUAUCCUUUCUGUGUUGUGACAAACAAAACAAGGAGAAAAAUGCCUUGCAAAAGGCAGUCUGGCUGUGGGAGGAAAUGCCCACCCCGGGCAAUAAAAAAUAUUUCAGUGUACUAAGAUUUUUCCGUGUUUUUCCCAGAGGUGCAUGUGGGAGUGGAGGGGAUUAGAGCUACAAUAAUCUUCUGUGAGUUUUACAUUUGUACAUGGUUAGAUUGAUCAGCUAAUAAUUUUAGUCUGUUAUUAUUAUUAUUAUUUUUGCAAACACCUAGGAAAAGAUCUUGAGGUUUACUUGUGGCCUUUCCAAAAUGACCCGUAUGUACAUGAAACAAGCAGUAACACCAAGCAGUGAAUUAAGUGUGAAGUAGCACUUAAAUAUUGCAGGCAGUGCUUGUGAAUAUGAACCCUUUUGGGGAUCCCCACUUUUUCUGUGGGCAAAGGUUUUUCUCCCUGCAAAAUGCAAGUUAACAAUUCACUGUUCUGGUGAGUCCGAGUCCCACGUGCAAAUUGUUUCACUGCUUUGACUGCUGAAUGUCUGUGACUUGGAGUGUGCAGAACUUGAGGAGGUCCAUCUGCUAAGGGAAAUAAUCCUGUGUCAUUGCAAAAUAUGUUUCUGGGUGUGUGUGUGUAUUUCUCUGUGCUCCUUCUUUGUCAUGAUUCCACGGUUUAAUUUAAAUACAUGUUUCACUUCUCUCCAUAUUUCACGUUUAUUGCAGGGUAUGAAAAUCAGGAAGCUUUUUGUUCACUUCAUACAUCUCUUCCAACAAAGCCAGACAUCCGAACCCGGCACAGACUCCAGAGUGAUUAUUGUUACACAUGAUCUAUGGAGCAGAUAAAUUACAACUUGAUUUUUAUAAGGAAAUCUGAAAAACAGCACACUCGGAACCAGGGCAGAGUGUGCAUUUUCCCACUUUGCUGAAUUCCUGGAGGGAGAGAUGCAAAACCCAGCUGGAUGUGAGGGAACCAUCAGCAGGAGCUCCUGAGCCAAAAUAGGAGCUGAGGCCCCAGAAAGUGGUGGGGUAGAGCUGUGAAUCCUAGCAACAGGCGGGGAAAGAACUGUACGUUUCCUCACGUCCUCCAAGUGUUGGUGCCUUCUGGUACAUCAUUGACAGGAAGAGACACAGACCAUGGAAAGGCCCUCCUUGCUGAUGCAUCAAGAAAGGGCACAUUUUUUCCAGUGGGAUGGUCUGUUGCACAGGAGCUGCCGGCCAUGCUGUUCCAGUUCAGGGGCUCCUGCUACAGAAAAGAUCAGCUGUUGGAGAACCCAUGGAAAGCCCUGGGGGAGAGCCAUGGCCGCAAGGGACAUCUGUGUCACACGGGAUGGAGGCCAGAGCCUCGCAGGAAGCGUAAGAAGGGAGCAAGGCAGGGAAAGGUUCCUCUUCUGGGGCUGGAAAAGGCACAGUGGCUUAACAGGUUCCUGCAGGUCACACCCUGGGGCAGCCCACAGCUUUCUGUCACACUCCCAGCAAAAGUUUCCCCAGCAAAAGAGGAGCCCCAACAACACCACUUCUCACUCUGGCAGUGAGACACCUUCCACCGCUGCUGCUUCACCCCAGGCAAUCUGAAACAGCUUCAUAGCUUAAGUAACAAUUAACAGCCCUGUCUUUGGGAGUGCUUCUGGAGCGCUGCGCCUCCCCUGCUCCGGAGCCUGUGCUCCUGCUGCUGUGUAACCCGAACUGGGGGCACCCCCCAGCUCCUGCCCACCCCUCAUCCUGCUGCCUGCAAGGGUGGUGAUGGGCUGCACUGUGCUGCCAGCCCAGCCCCGGCUCAGCCAGGGCCGUGCUGAUGCUUCUCCUCCUCUGGCACUCGCUCCCAGGCAGCACAGACACUCCUGUGAUGCUGCUCAGGACGCACAGGAUGAAGGUGCCCCUCGCAGGGCUGACCCAGGGGAGCUUCCAGAGCAUGGCAGGAGGUCCCUGGGCUGUUUUUAACACAGGUCUCCAAAGAGGAGCUGGCAGAGCCCUGCCUGGCUCCCUGCUCAGCUCCACAUGUUCACCUGAGCAAUGGGGGCUGCCUCGCCUGGGCACUGCCUUGGCCACUCACCCAGAGUCCCAGCAGCUCAGCAUCUCUAGAACAACCAGCUAAGCCAUGCAGCAGUGGAUUGCUGGACCUUUCUCUUCCUACAAAACCUUUUAAGCCUUUGCAAAAGCGGGAAGUAUUACGGACAAAAAACCCGCCUUGUUUCGCAUUAACAGCCUUUGCUUUUCCUGGCGAAGGUGGGACAAUAGCCACACGCUGCAUGGUAUCAGUGUCACAAAGAACAGAACCAAAAGGCU